rnacentral:lncRNA from 1 species
GCCUGAUUAACGAGAUACUUGAGUCACUUCACAAAAUGUUACGUCUUUGGAGGCGUUCACAGGAAAGGCUACUGGUGUUGUCAUCGUUGUUGCCAGUUAUAAACUAAAUGAUCUUUAGCAUGAUGGAAUGUUAUUAACUCUUGUGGUGAACACUAAUGACCUUUUAGCGUUGCAUAGUGAGUAUGAGAUUGGGCCUCCCGUCUUUGGUAGAAAAUAUGUUCCAGUCUGUCUAAGUUGUAGAGGGAGCAUAUAUUGCUUAUUAUUGGCAUUAAUUGCAUUGUGCUUCCCUUCUUUGGUGCAAAUUCACUUUAUGUCCAUUGCCUAAUUUGUACAAAAAACGUAGAAUGCUAUUGGCAUAAUUACUUUUCCUCGAGAGCAGAGUUUCUGAAGUGUAUGGAGACGAGAAAGGUAUGUGCUACCAUAUCCUGAUCGUCAAGAGUAAAUGUGUGCGUGUGGCUUUCACGCAAGUCAUUAUUCUGAAGUGUCUUUGCAACUUCAGAUUGUGAUUUUAGUGUUGCUAUUUCUUACAUAUUAGAGGGCACACAUUAUUUUUCACAUUCCAUCUUUGCAGAGGAGUAGUUGUUAUCUGUAAUCAGAUAGUGUAUAAGAAAUGAAAGAUUUGUUUGUCUUAGCAUGAAAAUGUUAAAUAUUAAAAUAUGCAUGACAUCAUAUUCAACACAUAUCCGAAUUAUGCCAAAUUUGUUUGAUCAGUGCAAAAUUGCAUAAGCUAUUUUUUUGUUAUUCCGUGCCAACACAUGUGUAUUUAUCUAGGCGGAUAUAGGCGGUGUGCUAUUUAAUGCAUUGUUAUUUAGUUGGCCAGUAAUAAGUUCUAAAAAGCAUCCUCCUACAAGAGCCAAAUCUCUGUAAAAUUUAGAGUGAAUAAAUCUUUGUUCUAUAUACAUGUAAUGCUUGUCAUCAACUUUUAGUUUCUUUUACCGAGAGUGUUACUUUCUUUUACAUUUUAGAAAUGGUUGUUUGUUUAUUUCUUCUCAUCAGAUCGGAGUUCAUUGGUUUGUUUGUUCCUUUUUAUCAGUCAUCUACCAUGGAAUGUUCUAUAUAAGUUUUUUGUCCAAAGAGAUAUUUUCUCUCAUGUGCUUUAAUCAUAUGCACAGAUGGUUGCGCGUGCAGUAUUAAAACGAGUCAAUCAAUCCAUUUUAUGAUGAAUUUAAGAGUUUUUAUCUUGAAAGUAGUCUUACAAAAUUUAUUUUUGGACUAAAAUCUUGAAUUCUAGGGUCUAUGCCAGUGAUGUGAUGCUUACAUGUUCUAUGAUGUUUUUCC